rnacentral:rRNA from 1 species
AGCGCAUACGGUGGAUGCCUUGGCAGUCAGAGGCGAUGAAAGACGUGGUAGCCUGCGAAAAGCUUCGGGGAGUCGGCAAACAGACUGUGAUCCGGAGAUGUCUGAAUGGGGGAACCCAGCCAUCAUAAGAUGGUUAUCUUACACUGAAUACAUAGGUGUAAGAGGCGAACCAGGGGAACUGAAACAUCUAAGUACCCUGAGGAAAAGAAAUCAACCGAGAUUCCCUUAGUAGUGGCGAGCGAACGGGGACCAGCCCUUAAGUUGUAUUGAGAUUAGCGGAACGCUCUGGAAAGUGCGGCCAUAGUGGGUGAUAGCCCUGUACGCGAAAAUCCCUUUGCAAUGAAAUCGAGUAGGACGGGGCACGAGAAACCUUGUCUGAAUAUGGGGGGACCAUCCUCCAAGGCUAAAUACUACUGACUGACCGAUAGUGAACCAGUACCGUGAGGGAAAGGCGAAAAGAACCGCGGAGAGCGGAGUGAAAUAGAUCCUGAAACCGUAUGCGUACAAGCAGUGGGAGCCCACUUUGUUGGGUGACUGCGUACCUUUUGUAUAAUGGGUCAGCGACUUAUUUUCAGUGGCGAGCUUAACCGAAUAGGGGAGGCGUAGCGAAAGCGAGUCUUAAUAGGGCGUCUAGUCGCUGGGAAUAGACCCGAAACCGGGCGAUCUAUCCAUGGGCAGGUUGAAGGUUGGGUAACACUAACUGGAGGACCGAACCGACUACCGUUGAAAAGUUAGCGGAUGACCUGUGGAUCGGAGUGAAAGGCUAAUCAAGCUCGGAGAUAGCUGGUUCUCCUCGAAAGCUAUUUAGGUAGCGCCUCAUGUAUCACUGUAGGGGGUAGAGCACUGUUUCGGCUAGGGGGUCAUCCCGACUUACCAAACCGAUGCAAACUCCGAAUACCUACAAGUGCCGAGCAUGGGAGACACACGGCGGGUGCUAACGUCCGUCGUGAAAAGGGAAACAACCCAGACCGUCAGCUAAGGUCCCAAAGUCAUGGUUAAGUGGGAAACGAUGUGGGAAGGCUUAGACAGCUAGGAGGUUGGCUUAGAAGCAGCCACCCUUUAAAGAAAGCGUAAUAGCUCACUAGUCGAGUCGGCCUGCGCGGAAGAUGUAACGGGGCUCAAACCAUGCACCGAAGCUACGGGUAUCAUCUUUUGAUGAUGCGGUAGAGGAGCGUUCUGUAAGCCUGUGAAGGUGAGUUGAGAAGCUUGCUGGAGGUAUCAGAAGUGCGAAUGCUGACAUGAGUAACGACAAUGGGUGUGAAAAACACCCACGCCGAAAGACCAAGGUUUCCUGCGCAACGUUAAUCGACGCAGGGUUAGUCGGUCCCUAAGGCGAGGCUGAAAAGCGUAGUCGAUGGAAAACAGGUUAAUAUUCCUGUACUUCUGGUUAUUGCGAUGGAGGGACGGAGAAGGCUAGGCCAGCCUGGCGUUGGUAGUCCAGGUUUAAGGUGGUAGGCUGAGAUCUUAGGUAAAUCCGGGAUCUUAAGGCCGAGAGCUGAUGACGAGUGUUCUUUUAGAACAUGAAGUGGUUGAUGCCAUGCUUCCAAGAAAAGCUUCUAAGCUUCAGGUAACCAGGAACCGUACCCCAAACCGACACAGGUGGUUGGGUAGAGAAUACCAAGGCGCUUGAGAGAACUCGGGUGAAGGAACUAGGCAAAAUGGCACCGUAACUUCGGGAGAAGGUGCGCCGGUGAGGGUGAAGCAUUUACUGCGUAAGCCCACGCCGGUCGAAGAUACCAGGCCGCUGCGACUGUUUAUUAAAAACACAGCACUCUGCAAACACGAAAGUGGACGUAUAGGGUGUGACGCCUGCCCGGUGCCGGAAGGUUAAUUGAUGGGGUUAGCGCAAGCGAAGCUCUUGAUCGAAGCCCCGGUAAACGGCGGCCGUAACUAUAACGGUCCUAAGGUAGCGAAAUUCCUUGUCGGGUAAGUUCCGACCUGCACGAAUGGCGUAACGAUGGCGGCGCUGUCUCCACCCGAGACUCAGUGAAAUUGAAAUCGCUGUGAAGAUGCAGUGUAUCCGCGGCUAGACGGAAAGACCCCGUGAACCUUUACUAUAGCUUUGCACUGGACUUUGAAUUUGCUUGUGUAGGAUAGGUGGGAGGCUUUGAAGCGUGGACGCCAGUCUGCGUGGAGCCAACCUUGAAAUACCACCCUGGCAACUUUGAGGUUCUAACUCAGGUCCGUUAUCCGGAUCGAGGACAGUGUAUGGUGGGUAGUUUGACUGGGGCGGUCUCCUCCUAAAGAGUAACGGAGGAGUACGAAGGUGCGCUCAGACCGGUCGGAAAUCGGUCGUAGAGUAUAAAGGCAAAAGCGCGCUUGACUGCGAGACAGACACGUCGAGCAGGUACGAAAGUAGGUCUUAGUGAUCCGGUGGUUCUGUAUGGAAGGGCCAUCGCUCAACGGAUAAAAGGUACUCCGGGGAUAACAGGCUGAUACCGCCCAAGAGUUCAUAUCGACGGCGGUGUUUGGCACCUCGAUGUCGGCUCAUCACAUCCUGGGGCUGAAGCCGGUCCCAAGGGUAUGGCUGUUCGCCAUUUAAAGUGGUACGCGAGCUGGGUUUAGAACGUCGUGAGACAGUUCGGUCCCUAUCUGCCGUGGACGUUUGAGAUUUGAGAGGGGCUGCUCCUAGUACGAGAGGACCGGAGUGGACGAACCUCUGGUGUUCCGGUUGUCACGCCAGUGGCAUUGCCGGGUAGCUAUGUUCGGAAAAGAUAACCGCUGAAAGCAUCUAAGCGGGAAACUUGCCUCAAGAUGAGAUCUCACUGGAACCUUGA